rnacentral:misc_RNA from 1 species
UAGCGGAACCCUAGAAACUGUACCUACCAGCCAGUUUGAUCACUGUAACCAGCAGUCUGUUUCGUUCGCGGUUCGAAACGGUGCAAUAACCUUGUUUUAAAGAUAUUUUAAGCCUUUAUCAUGACAUACGCAUUUUUAAUAGUUGCUACUAUAGCUAUAUCAUUCAAGUUGUUAUUUCUUGGUUUCUCGUUAGUGAUUACUUAUAAACACAGCAAAACCGAGGCUAAGACCGAUGUACAGUCAAAGCAAAUUAGCAACGACUCGUUAUGCGCAUGGAAAAGAAUUUCACGUCUUUUUGUACGAAAACUAUCCUAUAGCCCGGAAACCUACAAUAAUAUCACUGGCUUAAAAUUAUAAAAAAUACUGAAAUUGUUCAUUCAAACUUGUGAUGAUUAAAUAUGUAAAAUUAAAAAAUUAUAUAUUUAUAUUUUGCAAUGUGUUGUAUUUAUUAACCAAUCAAUUCAAUAUUUAGCUCAUUAUAGCUAUAAACAUAGCAUGACAUCUCUGAACUUAUGGAUUAACUAACGUAUUUUUAAGUUCAGCGAUUUAACGGCACUUGAAUUUCAAUUCAUUGUUUACCAUUUGUAUGUUAAAACUAUACAAUAUUUUUUUAAUAUUUUUUUCAACAGAAUUACGAGUAAGUAUAUGUAAUUCAAAUACGCGUAUAUGUUAAUAAUAAGUUAUAAUUAAUGUAUACGUGGCUCAAUAUUAGGCUGUCUACGUAGCACUGGAAAUACCUUUUGUAAGUAUAACCUACCUACAUGAUGCCUACAUGUAACAUAAAUGAACAUCAAGCUUGUAACAUAAUAAUUGACCUGCACAAAAAGUACGCGACACGCAUGACGAAAC